rnacentral:rRNA from 1 species
GAUGAACGCUGGCGGCGGGCCUAAUACAUGCAAGUCGAGCGAAGCGGGGAAGGGUGAGUAACACGUGGAUAACCUCCUAUAAGACUGGGAUAAAUUCGGGAAACCGGAGCUAAACCGGAUACUUAUCGCAGGAUCUACGGGGCAUUAGCUAGUUGGUAGGGUAACGGAUUACCAAGGCAACGAUGCAUAGCCGACCUGAGAGGGUGAUCGGCCACACUGGAACUGAGACACGGUCCAGACUCCUACGUGAGGCAGCAGUAGGGAAUAUUCCGCAAUGGGCGAAAGCCUGACGGAGCCACGCCGCGUGAGUGAUGAAGGUCUUCGGAUCGUAAAACUCUGUUAUUAGGGAAGCGGUACCUAAUCAGAAAGCCACGGCUAACUACGUGCCAGCAGCCGCGGUAAUUC